UACGGAGGGGGCUAGCGUUGUUCGGAAUUACUGGGCGUAAGGAGCGCGCAGGCGGCUGGUCAAGUCCGAUGUGAAAUCUCCCGGCUCAACUGGGAAACUGCAUCGGAAACUGAUCGGCUUGAAGGUGGGAGAGGGUAGUGGAAUUCCCGGUGUAGUGGUGAAAUGCGUAGAUAUCGGGAGGAACACCAGUGGCGAAGGCGACUACCUGGCCCACUCUUGACGCUGAGGCGCGAAAGCUAGGGGAGCAAACAGG
rnacentral:rRNA from 1 species